UGUGACAAAAUAGGCCAACUA
rnacentral:piRNA from 1 species